GAUGAACGCUGGCGGCGUGCCUAAUACAUGCAAGUCGAGCGAACAGACGAGGAGCUUGCUCCUCUGACGUUAGCGGCGGACGGGUGAGUAACACGUGGAUAACCUACCUAUAAGACUGGGAUAACUUCGGGAAACCGGAGCUAAUACCGGAUAAUAUAUUGAACCGCAUGGUUCAAUAGUGAAAGACGGUUUUGCUGUCACUUAUAGAUGGAUCCGCGCCGCAUUAGCUAGUUGGUAAGGUAACGGCUUACCAAGGCAACGAUGCGUAGCCGACCUGAGAAGGUGAUCGGCCACACUGGAACUGAGACACGGUCCAGACUCCUACGGGAGGUAGCAGUAGGGAAUCUUCCGCAAUGGGCGAAAGCCUGACGGAGCAACGCCGCGUGAGUGAUGAAGGUCUUCGGAUCGUAAAACUCUGUUAUUAGGGAAGAACAAAUGUGUAAGUAACUAUGCACGUCUUGACGGUACCUAAUCAGAAAGCCACGGCUAACUACGUG
rnacentral:rRNA from 1 species